GCUAGGGUCCACUUUGAGUUUUCUGCAUGUGGCUGCCCAGUUUUCCCAGCAUCAAUAGUUGAAGAGGCUCUGUUUUUUUCCAUUGUAUGUCUUUGGCUCCUUUGUCAAAUAUCAGCUGACUGCAAGUGUGCAGAUUUAUUUCUGGCUCUUCUACCCUAUUCCAUUGAUCUUCAGGUCUGUUUUUGUGCCAGUACUAGGCUGUUUUUGUUAUGAUGGCUUGAAAGUAGAGAUUGAAGUCUG